GAUGAACGCUGGCGGCGUGCCUAACACAUGCAAGUCGAGCGGACGGACGAGACGUUUGCUUGUCUGAUGUUAGGGGCGGACGGGUGAGUAACACGUGGAUACCCUACCUAUAAGACUGAGAUCACUUCGGGAAACCGGAUCUAAUACCGGAUGAUAUGGUGAACCGCAGGGUUCAACAGAGAAAGACGGAUUUGCUGUCACUUAUAGAUGGUUCCUCGCUGCAUUGGCUAGUUGGUACGGUAACGGCCUACCAAGGCAAGGAUGCGUAGCCGACCUGAGAGGGUGAUCGGCCACACUGGAACUGAGACACGCUCCAGACUCCUACGGGAGGCAGCAGUAGGGAAUCUUCGGCAAUGGGCGAAAGCCUGACGCAGCCAGGCCGCGUGUGUGAUGAAGGUCUUCGGAUCGUAAAGCUCUUUUAUUUGGGAAGAACAUAUGUGUAAGGAAACGUGCACGUCUUGACGGUACCUACUCAAAAAGCACCGGCUAACUACGUG
rnacentral:rRNA from 1 species